UACGGAGGGGGCUAGCGUUGUUCGGAAUUACUGGGCGUAAAGCGCACGUAGGCGGCUUUGUAAGUUAGAGGUGAAAGCCCGGGGCUCAACUCCGGAAUUGCCUUUAAGACUGCAUCGCUAGAAUUGUGGAGAGGUAAGUGGAAUUCCGAGUGUAGAGGUGAAAUUCGUAGAUAUUCGGAAGAACACCAGUGGCGAAGGCGGCUAUCUGGACAUAGACUGACACUGAGGCACGAAAGCGUGGGUAGCGAACAGG
rnacentral:rRNA from 1 species